UACGUAGGGUGCGAGCGUUGUCCGGAAUUAUUGGGCGUAAAGAGCUCGUAGGCGGUGUGUCACGUCGGCCGUGAAAACCUGCAGCUUAACUGUGGGCGUGCGGUCGAUACGGGCAUCACUGGAGUUCGGCAGGGGAGACUGGAAUUCCUGGUGUAGCGGUGAAAUGCGCAGAGUAUCAGGAGGAACACCGGUGGCGAAGGCGGGUCUCUGGGCCGAUGACUGACGCUGGAGGAGCGAAAGCCGGUGGGGAGCAAACAGG
rnacentral:rRNA from 1 species